rnacentral:rRNA from 1 species
UACGAAGGGGGCUAGCGUUGUUCGGAAUUACUGGGCGUAAAGGGCUCGUAGGCGGCCAACUAAGUCGGACGUGAAAUCCCUCAGCUUAACUGGGGAACUGCGUCCGAUACUGGAUGGCUUGGAUUCGGGAGAGGGAUGCGGAAUUCCAGGUGUAGCGGUGAAAUGACGCAGAGUAUCAGGAGGGAACACCCGGGUGGCGAA